UUAAAAAGCUCGUAGUUGGAUCUCAACAGCCUUGAAGCGGUUAACUUUGUAGUUUUACUGCUUUAUAGGCUGUGCUUUUGCUGGAGGUUUAGGGGUGCUCUUGAUCGAGUGUCUCUGGAUGCCAGCAGGUUUACUUUGAAAAAAUUAGAGUGCUCAAAGCAGGCUAAGAUGCCUGAAUAUUCGUGCAUGGAAUAAUAGAAUAGGAUGUCGAUCCUAUUUUGUUGGUUUUCGGGACUCGACAUAAUGAUAAAUAGGGACAGUCGGGGGCAUUUGUAUUCAAACGACAGAGGUGAAAUUCUUGGACCGUUUGAAGACAAACUACUGCGAAAGCAUUUGCCAAGAAUGUUUUCAUUAAUCAAGAACGAAAGUUAGAGGUUCGAAGGCGAUUAGAUACCGCCCUAGUUCUAACCAUAAACGAUGCCAGCUAGCGAUCUGCCGACGUUUUCUUUGUAGACUCGGCAGGAAGCUUC
rnacentral:rRNA from 1 species